AGGGACAGAGAGGAUUUUUCCAAGAGAGUGUCUUGUUUCGUCACCAGGCGCCAUGCUGGAGUGCAGUGGCAUGAUCUUGGCUCACUGCAACCUCUGCCUCCCAGGUUCAAGCAAUUCUUCUGCCUC